UACGUAGGGGGCUAGCGUUGUCCGGAUUCAUUGGGCGUAAAGCGCGUGUAGGCGGCCAGGUAGGUCCGAUGUGAAAACUGGAGGCUCAACCUCCAGCUGUCAUUGGAAACCAUCUGGCUAGAGUCCGGAAGAGGAGAGUGGAAUUCCUGGUGUAGCGGUGAAAUGCGCAGAUAUCAGGAAGAACACCGAUGGCGAAGGCAGCUCUCUGGGACGGUACUGACGCUGAAGACGCGAAAGCGUGGGGAGCGAACAGG
rnacentral:rRNA from 1 species